UUAAGUUCAGCGGGUAGUCCUACCUGAUUUGAGGUCAAAUGUUCAGUAAUGAGUUUGUCCGCAAGAACGGGACGGUUGGAAGCUGAACAACACAGAGAGCGACCCACUGAGCGUAGAUAAUUAUCACACCUGUGGACGGAUCGCAAACGGUUCCGCUAAUGCAUUUCAGAGGAGCCGACCUAAGAAAAAGGCCCGCAAAA
rnacentral:misc_RNA from 1 species